GAAAUGCGAUAAGUAAUGUGAAUUGCAGAAUUCAGUGAAUCAUCGAAUCUUUGAGCGCACAUUGCGCCCGCCAGUAUUCUGGCGGGCAUGCCUGUUCGAGCGUCAUUACAACCCUCAGGCCCCCGGGCCUGGCGUUGGGGAUCGGCGGAAGCCCCCUGCGGGCACAACGCCGUCCCCCAAAUACAGUGGCGGUCCCGCCGCAGCUUCCAUUGCGUAGUAGCUAACACCUCGCAACUGGAGAGCGGCGCGGCCACGCCGUAAAACACCCAACUUCUGAAUGUUGACCUCGAAUCAGGUAGGAAUACCCGCUGAACUUAAGC
rnacentral:misc_RNA from 1 species